UGGCAGGUGGCUUGUAUAAGUGGAACUGU
rnacentral:piRNA from 1 species